rnacentral:rRNA from 1 species
AACGAACGCUGGCGGCAUGCCUAACACAUGCAAGUCGAACGCGUGUAGCAAUACACGAGUGGCGGACGGGUGAGUAACGCGUGGGAACCUGCCCAGUGGUAGGGAAUAACUGCGGGAAACUGCAGCUAAUACCCUAUACGCCCUUUGGGGGAAAGAUUCAUCGCCAUUGGAGGGGCCCGCGUCGGAUUAGCUAGUUGGCGGGGUAAUGGCCCACCAAGGCAACGAUCCGUAGCUGGCUGAGAGGAUGAUCAGCCACACUGGGACUGAGAUACGGCCCAGACUCCUACGGGAGGCAGCAGUGGGG